rnacentral:rRNA from 1 species
GAUGAACGCUGGCGGCGUGCUUAACACAUGCAAGUCGAACGGUGAAGGCGGAGCUUGCUCUGCUGGAUCAGUGGCGAACGGGUGAGUAACACGUGAGCAAUCUGCCCCUGACUCUGGGAUAAGCGCUGGAAACGGCGUCUAAUACUGGAUACGAGCUGCGAAGGCAUCUUCAGCAGCUGGAAAGAAUUUCGGUCAGGGAUGAGCUCGCGGCCUAUCAGCUUGUUGGUGAGGUAAUGGCUCACCAAGGCGUCGACGGGUAGCCGGCCUGAGAGGGUGACCGGCCACACUGGGACUGAGACACGGCCCAGACUCCUACGGGAGGCAGCAGUGGGGAAUAUUGCACAAUGGGCGAAAGCCUGAUGCAGCAACGCCGCGUGAGGGACAACGGCCUUCGGGUUGUAAACCUCUUUUAGCAGGGAAGAAGCGAAAGUGACGGUGCCUGCAGAAAAAGCGCCGGCUAACUACGUG